rnacentral:misc_RNA from 1 species
AAUGAGAUUAGAAGAUAUGUGAGAGAAAUUGAAAAUGUUCUGAAACAUCCUAAAACUACGGAAGAGGUUACCCGCUGUAUCGAGGAAUUUUACAAAAUAACAGUCGGUCAUAAACCCACUAUUCAAACCAAAUUCAAAGAUAUCUGCUUUGUCCGAGAAGUUUUCUUAUCAGAGUUUUAUCCAACCAUUCUUCAUGUCCUCAUUCAAACUUUAAAGGUGGAAUGGUUCUCAAAUCCAGAUCACAAACGUUUGUCGGAAGUGUUUGACAAAUCUUUCACCGACGGUGAUGCUGCUGGGGCCUUCACUGUUCUUAUCAGGAGUGUUGAUAACCUAGAUGUUAGUUUUAAACUGAAUAAAUGUGUCUCCCUUUUGGAAAAGUUCCUGGAUGAUCAUGGACUAUUCCAAAUAAUCCAGACAGCAUGUAAAACUGCUCCAGAUAGCAGUCUGGAUUUUGUUUUGGAAGACCUCAUUAGUUUGAUUGCCACUCUACCAGACAAGACAGCUAACAAACUACAGCUCCAGAACAGCGAGAAGUUCUACCCCCAGCAGUACAUUCCCUUGCUAUGUGAUGAGAUGAUGCAAGUAUUGAGGAACCUGCACCAGAAAAUUUACAGUAGUCAAGACAUACACUUGGAAUUUGUUAGCCGAGUGAUUGGCAAAGUCUGUGUCUCAGGACAUGCAGGUACUGUAUGUGAGUCAUUGGUUCCUCACUUGGAGCGGGCAGUACGGGAGGAUUACAUCUGGUGUCGUAUAACAGAGCGCAUUGUCACAGGAGUACCUGAUCGAUGUCUAGAGUGUACCCUCACAUCUCUCCUCUCCAAAAUCACUUGGUAUGGAUUAGUGGAGAUGUUAAUUGGAGGGAGUGUGACAAAGAAACCGAAAAUCCAGUACUUGCUCUGUACCAAACUUAUAUUUCACAGACAUUCACAGGAUAUAUUUGCUUCAAAAUAUUAUGGGAUACCUAGGAUCGUCUCACACCAGAAAGCCAUUGUUUAUUAAGGUGAUGAGGGAGCUUCUUACUGUAUGGGCAGACAGUAGUGCCGUAAGACACACCUCAGUAGAACAACACCUCUACAUCACCAAGGCUUUGUUAAUAGGUCUGGGAUUUCUCAAAGAAUCGGACAAAGCUGGAAUCAGAGAUGAUUUCCUGCAGCUUUUGAUGCCUGGAAUACAGUGCCAUAUAGGGAGUUCUGAUCAAAAAGUUCGUAUUAUAGGCAUGGUAUUAGCUGAAAUGAUGUCUGCUAUUUUAGAUCCUAAAGGCCAACAGUUGAAAUUUGAGUUUCCAAGGGAUGAUGAAGUGAAUUAUCUCGUUUCACUUACGUUACCACCAGAAGAUCCAGGAUUGCAGAACUUGGUGAUGGAGAUGAGCAGUGUUCAUAUCACUCCAGUUCUUGAUGAUGAGGCAGGUUUAAAAACCAAACCAAAUGACAUAGAUCAAGGCUGUCUGAAUAUUGAACCUGAUUUAGAUAGUGAUGACGAUCUUGUACCAUAUGAUAUGUCAAAUGACACCGAAUUCACAAAGGUCAAACAGCCCAAGUACAUCCGCGAAUGCAUGGAAGGUUUGAUAAACACAGACGAACCAAACAGGUUAGAAAUGUAUCUUGGUGUCACAGAAGCCUUAAUCAGGAAAAAUCCUGAUGGACUUACAGAAAUAGCUGAGGAGUUUACCAAGAUCCUUCUCCACCUUUCUGACAGACACUCCUUGAAAGAUUUUGUUUCCCUGAGGUUUAAAUCUUUGGUAGCUCUUGCUGUACAAGCACCUAAACAGGUGUCCAGAUACCUGACAUCACAGUUUUAUGAAAGGAAUUACAACCUCAGUCAGAGACUCGAUAUACUGGAGGUCCUUGGAGCAGCUGCCCAAGAGCUCUCGCAACCAGUAGAUUCUAAACAGUCAAUGGAACAGGAGAGACUGUCAUAUAAGUUAGCACCUACUGACUCUGGACAUUCAAGUGAUGGCUGGAGGGAGAUUGUAAAGCAAAGAGUCGAAAGCAAAACCAGGAGAUUUCCAAAAGGAGCUACAAAAGAAGUAGUGGCUACCAAAAACAGGUUUGGAUUGGUGGCUGGAUGCUUUUUCUAUCCCCUUAUGGCCAACUUUGACAGAAAGGAAAAUACUUUUGAUAUGAUGGCAGAAGACAGUCUUAUUCUGGCCAGACUUGUGUACACCUUAGGUGUCAUUAUAUAUGCAGCCAUCAACACUCAGGCUGUUAAACAGAUGGCAAACAGGCUACUUGAAUUUCUCUGGAUCAUUAGAUUCCAUUCUGAUGUGAAGGUGCGUCAUGCAGCAUUAUUUGCCAUUUCAAUGGUGAUUUUGUCAGUCCCAGGACAUAUAUUAUUGGCAGAUUUACAAAGUGAAGUCAUGGAAACCAAGCGCUGGUUAGAAGAUGUGAUGGAGAGAGAUGUAAAUACAGAAUCAAAGAAACUGGCAAUACAGAGCUUGGUACUUCUCGAAAAUGUCAUCAAACAGGAGUUUACAAAAGGAGCUAAUCUUACAUGAGACAGCAAGAUAACAACAAGUUAUGACCUUUGUCCUUGAAAUAAUCCUUAACACCGACAACUGUCAGAAAUGAGAAAGAAAACUUUCACAGAGGAUUCUAUUUAACAUGAUAAUUUGGAAGCACCAAGUUACAUGCAGAGAGGAUGUGUGGAAACAUCUCCUUGGAGAGUUUUGAUCACCAGAUACAGAGAGAGUUUUGAUCAGAAAGAGAGGGGGUCUCCAUUACAGAGAUAUUAUAAAAUUUCUGCUGUAACUAUUCUCAUGAACAAUUUUAAGUGACUUGUUUGUGCAUUUUCCAUUAUUUUUAAUUUCAAUUAAAUUUACCAUUACAUAAUU